AUUGAACGCUGGCGGCAUGCCUUACACAUGCAAGUCGAACGGUAACAGGUUAAGCUGACGAGUGGCGAACGGGGGAGUAAUGUAUCGGAACGUGCCCAGUCGUGCGGGAUAACUGCCCGAAAGAGCAGCUAAUACCGCAUACGACCUGAGGGUGAAAGCGGGGGAUCGCAAGACCUCGCGCGUUUGGAGCGGCCGAUAUCAGAUUAGGUAGUUGGUGAGGUAAAGGCGCACCACGCGGACGAUCUGUAGCUGGUCUGAGAGGACGCCCAGACACACUGGGACUGAGACACGGCCCAGACUCCUACGGGAGGCAGCAGUGGGGAAUUUUGGACAAUGGGCGCAAGCCUGAUCCAGCCAUGCCGCGUGCGGGAAGAUGGCCUUCGGGUUGUAAACCGCUUUUGUCAGGGAAGAAAAGGUUCUGGCUAAUACCUGGGACUCAUGACGGUACCUGAAGAAUAAGCACCGGCUAACUACGUG
rnacentral:rRNA from 1 species